rnacentral:ncRNA from 2 species
CAUUAGCCCCGAUUGAAGAGGAAAUUAUUUUGCUUUUUUCUUUAAAAAAGCAAAAUGAUUGCAACGAAAAGCGGGAACUAUU